UGCCGGGUCUGCUAAUGGUAGGCAACGUGGCUCUGAACCACGGAAUCUAGGUUCGAUUCCUAGCCCGGCAG
rfam:Candidatus Harrisonbacteria bacterium RIFCSPLOWO2_01_FTLL_44_18 rifcsplowo2_01_scaffold_3699, whole genome shotgun sequence.